CUGUCUUUCUGCUUUCAGCCAACAUUUGCAAUGGAAGGUCUUUGUACCAGGCUUCUGCUAAAUAACAUCUGAGCAAAGCAAGUCAUGCAACAGUUCGGGAAUUACCGGUACUCAGUCACAAAUCAAUCCAUUCUUGUCACCCUGUACACGACUCAAGUCCAAGUGGAUCAAGGACCUCCACAUAAAACCAGAAACAUUGAAACUAAUAGAAGAAAAAGUGGUGAAGAGCCUCAAACAUAUGGGCACAGGGGAAAUUUUCCUGAACAGAACACCAAUGACUUAUGCUCUAAGAUCAAGAAUCAACAAGUGGAACCUCAUAAAAUUGCAAAACUUCUGUAAGACAAAAGAUGCUGUCAAUGGGACAAAAUAGCAACCAACAGAUUGAGAAAAGAUCUUUACCAAUCCUACAUCUGAUAGAGGACUAAUAUCCAAUAUAUACAAAGAAUUCAAGAAGGUGGACUCCAGAGAAUCAAAUAAUCCUAUUAAAAAUGGAGUACAGAGCUAAACAAAGAAUUCUCAGCUGAGGAAUAUCAAAUGGCUGAGAAGCACCUAAAGGAAUGCUCAACAUCCUUAGUCACCAGGGAAAUGCAAAUCAAAACAACCCUGAGAUUCCACUUCACACCAGUGAGAAUGGCUAAGAUCAAAAACUCCAGCGACAGCAGAUGCUGGUGAGGAUGCGGGGAAAGAGGAACAUUCCCCCAUUGUCAGUGGGAUUGCAAGCUGGUACAACCACUCUGGAAAUCAGUCUGGAGGUUCCUCAGAAAAUUGGACAUAGUAUACUUGAAGACCCAGCUAUACCACUCCUGGGCAUAUACACAUAAGAUGCUCCAACAUUUAACAAGGACAUAUGCUCGCUAUGUUCAUAGCAGCCUUAUUAUAAUGGCUAGAAGCUGGAAACAACCCAGAUGUCCUUCAACAGAGGAAUGGAUACAGAAAAAGUAGUACAUUUACACAAUGGAAUACUACUUAGUUAUAAAAACAAUGACUUCAUGAAAUUCAUAGGCAAAUGGAUGGAACUAGAAAAUAUCGUCCUGAGUGUAGGGGAAUGUCAGGAUGGAGGACUCUUGUUACACCUGAACCCAAGUCAAAUGUUACCUCCUCUACCCUUGAACCUGUGCAGGGCUCUGAAAGUCAUGGACUCAUGAUAUCUAGAAGACUAUCAACAUGACUUUUGAGGACAAUAUAAAAGAUGAUGGAGUUUCCA